rnacentral:lncRNA from 1 species
UGAAAAAUUACCUGAAUUGAAUUGAACAACAACAAAAACCCUCUUUAAUAUAUUUUUUUCUAUAAGAUAUUAAUUUCUAUUCAUCUUUUCCUGUAAAAGCACAGUAUUUUUCUGUGAGGAUAAGCUUGCUCUGUAGUUUUUAUUUCUUUGUUUUUGAAGUCCGUCUCAUCUUUAUUAUGACAGUACUAAGGCACCGGAUCACAUUCUUGUAUGAGGUACAGAUUCUAUAGCUGUGGCUUUUCUCAGGGUGUAGUGUGACUCUGUGAAACCCAUUUGAAAAUCUCCGCACCUAUAUGAUGGCAAGAGGAAUGAGAACAGGACCU